UGCGGAUAAAUUCAGCAGGUUAUGAGAAUGACAAACGGGAACUCAUAACCCGAAGGUCGCAGGUUCAAAUCCUGCCCCCGCAACCA
rnacentral:tRNA from 1 species